rnacentral:rRNA from 1 species
CCUACGGGUGGCAGCAGUGAGGAAUAUUGGUCAAUGGGCGGGAGCCUGAACCAGCCAAGCCGCGUGAAGGAAGAAGGCGCCAGGCGUCGUAAACUUCUUUUGUCGGUGAACAAAGGGCGCCACGUGUGGCGUUGUGAGUGUACCCGAAGAAAAAGCAUCGGCUAACUCCGUGACAGCAGCCGUCGUAAUACGGAGGAUGCGAGCGUUAUCCGGAUUUAUUGGGUUGAAAGGGUCCGUAGCGGUUCCGGAAAGUCAGCGGUAAAAGCCCGGAGCUCAACCCCGGCGAGCCGUUGAACCUGUCGGACUAGAGACGGCGAGAAGUACGCGGAAUGCGCGGUGUAGCGGUGAAAUGCAUAGAUAUCGCGCAGAACUCCGAUUGCGAAGGCAGCGUACCGGCGCCGGACUGACGCUGAGGCACGAAAGCGUGGGUAUCGAACAGGAUUAGAUACCCCUGUAGUC